GUGCUGUUACUUGGAUGCCAUGGGCGGUGGGCCACUUGGUGAGCGCCAACCUGGAAGAGCAUUCCCUUUAGCUACCAUUGCUGGAGCUUCUUAAGAUCAUUUAGAGAAUAAGCACAAGGUUAUUGAUCUAUUAUUUUGUUAGGAUUUGAUGUCUCGAGAUUCGAUCCAUAUUGAGCCCACAUCGAGAUUCGUCACGAAAAAUGGAGUCCAACG
rnacentral:lncRNA from 1 species